rnacentral:rRNA from 1 species
UGGUGGAGUGAUUUGUCUGGUUAAUUCCGUUAACGAACGAGACCNUAACCUGCUAAAUAGUUACAUGUAAUUUCGAUUAUGUGGGCAACUUCUUAGAGGGACGUUGUGUGUAUAAUGCAAGGAAGUUUGAGGCAAUAACAGGUAUGUGAUGCCCUUAGAUGUUCUGGGCUGCACGUGCGCUACACUGAUGUGUUCAACGAGUUGUCAACCUUGCCUGGAAAGGUUUGGUAUUCUUGAACAGGCAUCGUGAUGGGGAUUGUUUAUUGCAAUUAUUAACCUUCAACGAGGAAUUCCUAGUAAGCUUGAGUCAUCAGCUUGUGCUGAUUAUGUCCCUGCCCUUUGUACACACCGCCCGUCGCUCCUACCGAUUGAAUGAUCCGGUGAAUAAUUUGGGCUGUAGCAAUGUUCAGUUCUUGAACAAUGCAAUGGCAAAUUUAAUGAACCUUAUCACUUAGAGGAAGGAGAAGUCGUAACAAGGUUUCUGUAGGUGAACCUGCUGAAGGAUCAUGUGCACACGUGUGUACACUAACCUGCUAAUGAUAUUGUGGGCGGUGUAAGCUUGCAUUACAAUAAUAUUACAUGUGCCCUGGGCUGUGUGACUUGUUUUGCAAACAUUCGUUAUGCAUUGCAUAAACAAGUUUGGUAAACUGAGUGGUGCUGUGUUUGUGUACGAUGAUUAGGUUUUGCAACGAAUGUUUUAGUUCAAUACAUGAUGAAUAAUGCAGGACAAUGCAGUAUGCAUUGUGAAUUGCAGAAUUCCGUGAGCUAACAUAUGUUUGAAUGUUACUUGCGCCUUUGGGAUAUUCUUGAAGGUUUGCUUGGWUCAAUGCCAAGUAUCUUCCAUAUGCAAUACUGCUGUUUAGCAUUGCUGUGAACAAGGAGAGUCAAUGUGUAUUGCAUUGAACAUGGAUGUGUUGCAGCUGCUUUUGCAACCUAAGCAUGGUUGAUUGGGGGCAAACUUGUUUCGUCAUGUGCUGGUUGCUGUUUUGCAAAAUGUGCACAACUGAGACAAGCUGAAGACUUGCAUAUGCUUAGCAUGAAGUGAAGCACAUACACCUGCUGAGUUUAAGCAUAUAAGUAAGUGGUGGAAAUUAAACCAAAUGGGAUAUCUUUAGUAAUUACGAAUGAACAAGGAUAUGCGUAGCUUGACAAAUGGAGCUAUUGGCUUUGAAUUGUAUUGUGGAAAUGUAUUACCAACAGAGGUGCAGGUGCCAGCAUAUUGAAAUAGAGCGUCAAUGAGGGUGAGAAUCCUGUUUGCCAUGUGCAGCCCUUUGUGCACGGUGUAUAUUUGCUGAGUCACACUCCUUGGCAUUGGAAUGCAAAGUGGGUGGUAAGUUUCAUGUAAAGGUAAACAUGCAACUGAGACUGAUAGCACACAAGUGCCAUGAGGGAAAUAUGAAAAAGGUUUUUGAAAAGAUAAUAAAAUGAGUUUGUAUUUGCUGAACACAAAGUAAACAGACUUGAUUUGCUUGGUGGGAGUGUUGCACUUGCUUKACAARAGCUYKGMSCUGKUUGWMCAUGMUUYYUUCUUUGCMUGCCAGUUUMWAUGKGUACWUWUUUUUUUUUUUGC